GCGGCGGACGGGUGAGUAAUGCUUGGGAACAUGCCUUUAGGUGGGGGACAACAGUUGGAAACGACUGCUAAUACCGCAUAAUAUCUACGGAUCAAAGGGGGGGCUCGCAAGACCUCUUGCCUAGAGAUUGGCCCAAGUGAGAUUAGCUAGUUGGUGAGGUAAUGGCUCACCAAGGCGACGAUCUGUAGCUGGUCUGAGAGGAUGAUCAGCCACACUGGGACUGAGACACGGCCCAGACUCC
rnacentral:rRNA from 1 species